UUUUACUAACGAAAUUUUCUUAUUUCGCGAUUCUUUAACCUCAUGAGCUAAGAUACGGAUCGGUUCCUCUUCAUAAGUCAUAUUGGACCGAAUUUCUAUUUCUGACGGAGAAAUCACAUGCGAGGGAUCAGAUCUAUAUCGUCGAACCACCGCUAUGUGAAACACAUUAUGGAUCUUUUCUAAUUACGAUGGCAAUAACAAUC
rnacentral:lncRNA from 1 species